rnacentral:rRNA from 1 species
GGGUCAGUAGGUUGGUCGUGCCACCGGUACGUACUGGCCUCACUGAUUCCUCCUUCCUGAAGAACCGUAAUGCCAUUAAUUUGGUGUUGCGGGGAAACAGGACUGUUACUUUGAAAAAAUUAGAGUGUUUAAAGCAAGCUAACCCUUGAAUACAUUAGCAUGGAAUAAUGAAAUAGGACGAUCGAUCCUAUUUUGUUGGUUUCUAGGAUUGACGUA